ACGGGAGGCAGCAGUGGGGAAUAUUGCACAAUGGGCGAAAGCCUGAUGCAGCGACGCCGCGUGAGCGAUGAAGUAUUUCGGUAUGUAAAGCUCUAUCAGCAGGGAAGAUAAUGACGGUACCUGACUAAGAAGCACCGGCUAAAUACGUGCCAGCAGCCGCGGUAAUACGUAUGGUGCAAGCGUUAUCCGGAUUUACUGGGUGUAAAGGGAGCGUAGGCGGUUUUGCAAGUCUGAUGUGAAAACCCGAGGCUCAACCUCGGGAUUGCAUUGGAAACUGUAGAACUAGAGUGUCGGAGGGGUAAGUGGAAUUCCUAGUGUAGCGGUGAAAUGCGUAGAUAUUAGGAGGAACACCAGUGGCGAAGGCGGCUUACUGGACGAUUACUGACGCUGAGGCUCGAAAGCGUGGGGAGCAAACAGGAUUAGAUACCCUGGUA
rnacentral:rRNA from 1 species